CCUAUAGCUGCGCGGAGGGACAUUACAGAGUUUUCUAACUCCCAAACCCAUGUGAACUUACCUUUGUUGCCUCGGCAGAAGCUACCCUGUAUCGCCGUUCAGGUUACCCUGUAGCAAUAUUCUGCCGGUGGACUAUUCAACUCUUGUUAUUUUAUUGUAAUCUGAGCGUCUUAUUUUAAUAAGUCAAAACUUUCAACAACGGAUCUCUUGGUUCUGGCAUCGAUGAAGAACGCAGCGAAAUGCGAUAAGUAAUGUGAAUUGCAGAAUUCAGUGAAUCAUCGAAUCUUUGAACGCACAUUGCGCCCAUUAGUAUUCUAGUGGGCAUGCCUGUUCGAGCGUCAUUUCAACCCUUAAGCCUAGCUUAGUAUUGGGAGUCUACUGUAUUGUAGUUCCUCAAAUUCAACGGCGGAUCUGUGGUAUCCUCUGAGCGUAGUAAAUUUUUAUCUCGCUUUUGUUAGGUGCUACAGCUCCCAGCCGCUAAACCCCCAAUUUUUAAUGGUUGACCUCGGAUCAGGUAGGAAUACCCGCUGAACUUAAGCAUAUCAAUAAGUCGGGAGGAGGCUA
rnacentral:rRNA from 1 species